GGGCUCGUGGCGCAGCGGUAGCGCGCCUGCUUUGCAAGCAGGAGGUCGAGGGUUCGAAUCCCCCCGAGUCCA
rnacentral:tRNA from 1 species